CUUGGGUUGUGCCAUGGCGGAGAUCGUUGUGGGCUAUACUCGGCCUUGUCUUUGGACGGACCUGAGCCCUAGGACCAUGCCUCAGGACUACCUGGUAUGAUGACUCCUUGCUGUCCCCAGUCCACCUGGCCGUGCUGCUGCUCCAGUUUCAACUGUUCUGCCUGCGGCUAUGGAACCCUGACCUGUUCACCGGACAUGCUUGUUGCACCCUCGACAACUACUAUGAUUAUUAUUAUUUGACCAUGCUGGUCAUUUAUGAACAUUUUAACAUCUUGACCAUGUUCUGUUAUAAUAUCCACCCUGCACAGCCAGAAGAGGACUGGCCACCCCUCAUAGCCUGGUUCCUCUCUAGGUUUCUUCCUAGGUUUUUGGCCUUUCUAGGGAGUUUUUCCUAGGGAGUUUUUCCUAGCCACCGUGCUUCUUUCACAUGCAUUGCUUGCUAUUUGGGGUUUUAGGCUGGGUUUCUGUACAGCACUUUGAGAUAUCAACUGAUGUACGAAGGGCUAUAUAAAUAAAUUUGAUUUGAUCUAAAGAAUAAUUUUAAUGGAGGUAUUUUCCACUCCGACUGUGACCCUUUUGGUCACUUUCUUUGUCUUGUUAUCAUCUGUAACAUCAUUAUUAUUAUUACCAACAUUUAUGGGUACAAUUCCAAACUUGAAAAUGAUCAGUUCC
rnacentral:lncRNA from 1 species